CAAGAUCAUUGUAAAGACAGCUAGUCUUUGACAUUUCACUGCAUAAUGAACGUGAGUCUGCUUUCCUUGUGUUGGAAUACAUAACGGUGUCAUCUGUGAAUUGCAAAUCAAUAAAACUGCAAUUGAGCAAGGUAUUGAGAUGACGGAGGUCUAAGAACUAAACGAAGACACUGGACAUGGAGGUGCCGCUAGAGCAUUCUAAAUCUGGAGUCCACAGGGACAUGAAAUCUUCAGGCUGCAACUCUCAAUGACUGUUGUUCAGCAUUGAUGGUAACCCACUGGUACUCUUCUGUGACAUAAUUCUCCUUCCAGCAUUUAGGAAUCAAGGGAAAGGCUGCCUUCUUCCACAUGCUCCUGCAAUUCCAGUUCUCCCCAACUUCUGUGCCAUUGCAUCAAGUUUUCCUUAUCUAGAGGAAAUCCAGCCUUAGAUCAUAUGCGGCUUGAGACAAUUUUCUCUUAGUGUUCCUCCCUUACAAAGAUAAAAUUUCCCCACAGCGCCUGCGAUGGCUUCCAA